GACGAACGCUGGCGGCGUGCCUAAUACAUGCAAGUAGAACGCUGAAGGAGGAGCUUGCUUCUCUGGAUGAGUUGCGAACGGGUGAGUAACGCGUAGGUAACCUGCCUGGUAGCGGGGGAUAACUAUUGGAAACGAUAGCUAAUACCGCAUAAUAGUAGAUGUCGCAUGACAUUUGCUUAAAAGGUGCAAUUGCAUCACUACCAGAUGGACCUGCGUUGUAUUAGCUAGUUGGUGAGGUAACGGCUCACCAAGGCAACGAUACAUAGCCGACCUGAGAGGGUGAUCGGCCACACUGGGACUGAGACACGGCCCAGACUCCUACGGGAGGCAGCAGUAGGGAAUCUUCGGCAAUGGACGGAAGUCUGAACGAGCAACGCCGCGUGAGUGAAGAAGGGUUUCGGAUCGUAAAGCUCUGUUGUAAGAGAAGAACGAGUGUGAGAGUGGAAAGUUCACACUGUGACGGUAUCUUACCAGAAAGGGACGGCUAACUACGUG
rnacentral:rRNA from 1 species